AUGUUGUGUUGCAUUUUUCCCACAUUUCUCUGUGUUUUAGGGUCUCUACAGUGAGAAGGUUCUUGGAAUUGGUAAAGAACACAAUGUCUUAUAAUUGUUGAAAAACGAGAUCAGUAAGGAAUUUCCAGCUAUAGCAGGAAGUAUUAUGCAAGUGCAGGAAGAUUCAACACUAUGGCAUCUCAGGCUGGGUCAUCCUUCAGUUGUUGUAAUGCAACAUAUUCCUCUGUUAAAGAAUAAGAUAGAUGCUAGGAUACAACACAUCCGUGAAGUAUAUCCUUGGCCAAGCAGAAUAGACUUCCAUUCCAGUCUAGUAGCAAUAAAACAGAACAUUUUUCCAAUU
rnacentral:lncRNA from 1 species